UAAUGAUAUUUUGUUAGAUUUAAUAAAAAUGUGCAAAUAAGAAGAAAAGUCGUUAUGUACCAAUUAUCGACAGCUCAGAAUUUUUAAUGCACUAGUGAUCGAUGUCUUGUGUAUGAGUAAUCGUCAGGAUGGGAAAUCAAUAAACAACUGCAAUUGAUAAACUGUAUUUUGAAAUACAGUUUAUUAAUUGCUUUACUAUGAAAUAAAGAUGAAAUAUUAGUAAUUAUAAUUAAAUGAACAAAUUAAGAUAUGCAAAUGCUCAGAACCAGUUGCUGAUAGUAAUUUUUGUAACAGCCACUCUAGACCUUGUCAAGUUCUGUGAGACUCUUUGAGAAAUCUUAGGAUGCCGUUUAAGAAAUGAUUCAUACUAAUGUCAACCGGGUUUUCCAUGACGAAAUGGCGUGUUCUAUUUUAGAUCAUGAACUAGCUUUUGAACAGAAUCCAGAUGAUGCUCCUUGGUGACUGGAAAACCAGUCUUUCCAAUGUUAAUUAUCCAUAUUUCCAGUAUGUUUUCUUCUUAUAUGGACAAAUAUGUAGGAGGACCCAUUCUUUGCUCUACUGGCGUCUGUCCACUAGCUUUAUUCAAUAGAAUAACUGUGGCACACCAAAUGCCUUUGUAGCCUUAGAAACAGUCAUUUCACCCCUUUUUAAUAAGUUGAAGGGCCGAUUUCAUUUGCUCUUCUGUAUAAUUGAAACGAGGAAACGUCCUAAAAAUAUAAAAUACGUGCAUUAUCAUUGAUCCUAGUCAACGAUUUUCUGCUAGUAAUCAACACAAUGAUUUUCUUCCCAAUGAAAACCAAAAUACUCAUCAUAAGUGGUGUCGAUUACUGGUCUAGUUUUUUUAUCAAAAGAAAAUGUGCGAGGAAAGUACAUAUAAAUUGGAUAUUGUUAUACACAUUAAGCAGAUUGCUUUAUUUAAACUUGGAGAUCCAUGCCCCAGUGAUCGACAGCAAUGUCGAUCACUGGGACAUAUUGUGUUUUUAUUGAUUCAAUAAUCGACUUUAAUUUUAAAUAACAGUAUUUACAUCAUUAUUAUUAUCUUAUGCUAAUACCUAGGUACACGUAUAUACAAUGAAUAAACCAACAGUCUGUGUUAAAAUAUUUAGUUUAUCAAUAAAUUCAGCGGAAUAAGUCCAAGAAACUACACUAAGGCAAACAUCAGUGAGGUCACUCUCUAGUUGAAUAUCGUGAUGCAUCAACUUUCAUGACACGUAAUAAAAAAAACUAACUUCCCAUGGAAUUUCUAGCGGCAUAAUCACACUCUAAGAGAUUCAUAGUUCUGAAAAAUUAUCACAGAUCGCGAAUCGGUCCAA
rnacentral:lncRNA from 1 species